rnacentral:rRNA from 1 species
UGGGGAAUCUUGGACAAUGGGCGCAAGCCUGAUCCAGCCAUGCCGCGUGAGUGACGAAGGCCUUAGGGUUGUAAAACUCUUUCGCCGGUGAAGAUAAUGACGGUAGCCGGAGAAGAAGCCCCGGCUAACUUCGUGCCAGCAGCCGCGGUAAUACGAAGGGGGCUAGCGUUGUUCGGAAUUACUGGGCGUAAAGCGCACGUAGGCGGAUUUGUAAGUUGGGGGUGAAAUCCCGGGGCUCAACCCCGGAAUU